ensembl:lncRNA
AGAAAGGAAGAGGAAGUCGAGGAUCCGCGAGCGGGUGGGUGCGCCUCGGGCUGCGGGAGUCUCUGCUGCCGCUGCCGCCACCGCUGCCGCCUCUACGGCCGCGUCAGAACUGAAGAGAGGAAGGGGAGGAGCCCAGCUGAGCCUAAACUGCCGCCUGAUCUUACCCCUGACCCGAGGGCCGCAGAGAGAGUUUGCUCUGUAGCGGUUUCCUCCGAGGCAGGUAGCGACUGCUCCUUUGGGAACAAGAAGGAGCCAGGCGGUGGGGCCGGGCUGGGGCGCGCACCACCCCAAGGUGAGGCAUGUGGCCCCGGACAGGCCCUGGAAAAGCCAACUCAUGGAGAAGUUGUGCUACUGCCUGAUCGUUGCACCUGCUCUGGGGAGCGAGCGCCCCGCCCUUCCCGUGGCGUGGGGUGAGACCUAGCGCGGGGUGACUUGCGGUCGGGCCGAGCAAAGGUUUGCUUAAUGAACGAAUGCCUCUUUCGCUUGGCCCUCGCGGAACUCUUCGGAGGAUGAAAGCGCAAGCGCUUUGUAAACUGCAGCGCGUUGGAAAGAUGAGAAUUGCAAUGCACCCGUCCCCUCCCCCGAGCCGUGAAAGGAAACAGGGAAAUUAAUAGAUGAUGUCCUGAUCUGGAGGACUAUGACCCAUCCAUAUGCGCAUGCUAUCUCUGAGGAAAUGCAAGAGCUCAGCGUGGCUGCAUCUAAGGAGGCCACCAGAUGAGAAGGGAAGAAAUCCAGCAUCUCCACCUCAUCAUUAUUUUCAAGUUUCAAGGAGCCCUGUCCACCAUGCUGGGCACAGAUCUAGGCAUUCUGCAAAGAUAUUAAGUCCUGAGUACUGGAUACUACACCUGUUUUGACAUACUCUACCCCAUGGAGUCUUGUGUUCUGCCCUCCUUGAUCCCGCAAUCUUAAGGUUCAUCUCCAGGCACAUCUCUCUGUUACUGGAGCUGCUGUUGGGUCCACUGCUGGUUGAGCUGAAGAGCCAGAGGGGUCUUAUACAUCACAAACAUGGUGACCCCAACCCAGCCCUGUGGAUGGGGGCAUAGAGAAGAGGACUGGGUUGACCCCUGAAAGAUGUCACUACACUUGGAGUGACGCUGCUAUCAGCAAGUGUGUAGAGAUGACCUGUUCCUUUGUCCUUGGAGCGUAUUCUUCAAAGGAGAAUGACUGGGUCUCGGAGCUGGAACAGUUUCCUGAGCUAUUCCUGAGACUGUGAGCUGGGUCUUGCUGACUCUGAGAGAGGAAAUCAGCUACCGGUCUGGCAACUCUCAAGAAUCUCUUCCUUAUCUCCCUGAUAUCCUUUUGAAGUCAUGGCCUCAGUCCAGAAUUGUCCUCUACCUUUGAGUUCCUUAGUCCCUGCAUUAGGGAGUUGGACAGGAGUCAGCACGAGCUCACAGGAAAUGGAGGAGAGGGUAGCAAGAAUCAGAACCUAGGAAGUCCUAGGUUGGCACUGUCCAGGCUGACACAGGUCAGAGGCCUGUAGCACGCACCUCAGGAGGGAGAAAGUGAGGCAUCAGCCAAGAAAAAAGUCAGAGAUCUCCAACUGACUAGAAGAAAUCACCAAGAGUGAUUUCACCAUGGGUGGACAAACUACUGCAACUCAGGGUCCUGGCUAGGCAAAGAGCCAACGUGGGCACGGGUCCAUGUGUCUAUGUGGAUCAUCAGAGUAGACGAACAGCACAGCCCAGCCGAAGCACCAGGAGGAUAAGCCGAGGUUGGAGCCCAUGCAGCGAGGAAAGCAUUUGGCAUAUACUGCCAAACAUUGCCUUUUUUCUCACUCUGUUGUGAUGGCCACGUGUUGUUUUAAAAUUGUUUCAUUUACAAAGGGGCUGUCGGAGCAGGACUCUUGGUUCUAAGUCAGAAGUCUCACCCUUCUGUCUUAUUUUUAUAAGCACACAGUGAGGGCCGGCCUGGCCUGGCAGGCGUAUCCGUGUCCCCGGCAAGGGUGCACUCUGCUUAUCCCAGACCUGGCGCUGCAGCCCGGGCAGGAGCAACACACCCUGGAGGAUCCCCCCGGGAGGAACUAAUAAAGUUCUCCCAUAAGCAUGUAAUGGAGGGGAAGGUCCUUUCCUUGCAGCUCUUGUUGUUUUACACACUUCACCUAAUUUUAAGGGUACAAAGGAAACGGCAGUUGGCUUCUGAGUUGCGGGGAAAAGAGCUAAAAGCAAAUAAGUAGUUGGGAAAUUGUCUUGACGUUAUGGAAUGAACAAGACCUUAAUGUGUAAUAGAGGGGCUGACAACUGCUCUGGGG